rnacentral:ncRNA from 1 species
AAUUUUGUUUUGGUUCCAUAUUGGCGUUACGUUUGAUUUAAUGGAAUUUGAAGAAUUGUCCAGUUACGAAACUUUUUGGGUUGGGAGACCAAGCCAGAGAAAAUGUAUUAUUUAGGGCUAAGGUAGUGCCAGCUGCUGCGGUCAUACUACCCUAAAAAGUCAAUAGACAUUGUAUAAUAUUAUAUAUUUAUUAGUACCUAAGGUGAAAUUUUCGUACUAUAUACACCAACUAUAUAGAAUUUUAUAUAAAUGCCAACAACAAACAAGGAUUAGAGACCCUUCUAUGGGGCACUAUUUUUAUACAGGGCAUUAAAGUAAUAGCCUAAACCCAAAGAACAUGGCGGUAGUUUCAAUAAUUAGGGGAACUUACCAAUUAAAUGAUAAUCCACAAGUAAAGUUACUUAAAAUUAAAUUUUGUAUGCCGUCGUCUACAGGUUAAAUAAAAUAUUUAACCCUAAAACUAUAAGCAAAAAGACAGAUCAAGGUGCAGACUAUUUUUAAGAUUAGGCGAGUUACAAUAGAAAAUCGAUUCUAAAACCAAAAGGAAAUUAUGGUUUUUAGUUGGACUUAAAAGUAAAUUAUAUUAGGAAUACAGGUUGAAUUAUAAUGAAACUGUGC